rnacentral:rRNA from 1 species
UUCCGGUUGAUCCUGCCGGACCUGACUGCUAUCGGAUUGAUACUAAGCCAUGCGAGUCUUUGUAGUAAUACAAGGCAGACGGCUCAGUAACACGUAGUCAACCUACCCUAUGGACAAGAAUAAUCUCGGGAAACUGGGCAUAAUUCUUGAUAGAUCAUAAUGCCUGGAAUGGUUUAUGGUUAAAAUGACUCGUCGCCAUAGGAUGGGACUGCGGCCUAUCAGCUUGUUGGUGAGGUAAUGGCCCACCAAGGCGAUUACAGGUACGGGCUCUGAGAGGAGAAGCCCGGAGAUGGGUACUGAGACACGGACCCAGGCCCUAUGGGGCGCAGCAGGCGAGAAAACUUUGCAAUGUGCGAAAGCACGACAAGGUUAAUCCGAGUGAUUUCUGCUAAAGAAAUCUUUUGCCAGUCAUAAAACCACUGGUGAAUAAGGGGUGGGCAAGUUCUGGUGUCAGCCGCCGCGGUAAAACCAGCACCUCAAGUGGUCAGGAUGAUUAUUGGGCCUAAAGCAUCCGUAGCCGGCUUUGUUAGUUUUCGGUUAAAUCCAUGUGCUCAACGCAUGGGCUGCCGAAAAUACUGCAUAGCUAGGGAGUGGGAGAGGUAGACGGUACUCAGUAGGAAGGGGUAAAAUCCUUUGAUCUAUUGAUGACCACCUGUGGCGAAGGCGGUCUACCAGAACACGUUCGACGGUGAGGGAUGAAAGCUGGGGGAGCAAACCGGAUUAGAUACCCGGGUAGUCCCAGCUGUAAACGAUGCAGACUCGAUGAUGCAUUGGCAUAAUAGCCAGUGCAGUGUCGCAGGGAAGCCGUUAAGUCUGCCGCCUGGGAAGUACGUACGCAAGUAUGAAACUUAAAGGAAUUGGCGGGGGAGCACCACAAGGGGUGAAGCCUGCGGUUCAAUUGGAGUCAACGCCGGGA